AUUGUUCAACGGCCGCGGUAUCCUAACCGUGCGAAGGUAGCGUAAUCACUUGUCCUUUAAAUAAGGACUAGUAUGAACGGCUUCACGAAGGCUAUACUGUCUCCUUAAUCUAAUCAGUUAAACUAAUCUCCCCGUGAAGAAGCGGGGAUUCAUUUAUAAGACGAGAAGACCCUAUGGAGCUUUAAACAUCUAAGACACUUGAUUACACCCACUAAACUUCACGCAACCUAUCAUUUUGUCUUAAGUUUUAGGUUGGGGUGACCACGGAGAAAAAUUUAACCUCCACGUAGAAAGAAAAUUCUUUUCUAAGCAAAAAGCCACAUCUUAACGCAUCAAUAUAUUGACUUAAAUUGACCCAAUUUCUUGCUCAACGAACCAAGUUACCCUAGGGAUAACAGCGCAAUCCGCUUUAAGAGCUCCUAUCGACAAGCGGGCUUACGAC
rnacentral:rRNA from 1 species